GGUAACCUGGACAGGUCACACACACCCUUCUCCGGGUUUCCUUAAGCCUCAGUUUCUCCCUCUGUAAAAUGAUAGGUGGACCUGAUGAUCUCCAGAGCCUCUCCCACUUUGAACCAUCUAGGGUCUUAUGGUCCUGAGCCGAGAAGGGCUUCCUGUCUAGGCGGAGGAAGAAAAGUAGAGAGAUCUAGACCCAGAAGGAGGGACGGGGGUGGAACUGGACAGUCCCAGGACAGUUGACCUCUGUUCACCACUUACAUCCUAACGAAUAACCGACCAGCUUUGAUUUUGUAGAACUCAAGAGCCGGCUGGUUUGGUGCAUUAGUGAACUCUGGAAGGACAGAAACUCCAGGAACCUAUUACCUUAAGGAGCCCCGGACACACCUUGGUUGCAUAACCCAGCCGCAGCAGCCUGCAGGGCUGGGCGCUCCCGCUGCUGACGCCGCAGUGGGCUGGGCUGCAGGGGGGAGGAGGGGCUGGCUGCCGGGGAGGCUGGGCUGGGUGGCUGCUGGAGGAGCCCAGGGAAGAGCUAGGGGCAGGGCGUGCCUUUCCAGCUCGCCUCAGAACUGAAGGAGGCAGAGGUGUCCUGUCCGGGGUUGUGCACUGUGGCCAGCGGGGAGCAGCAAAAACCUGGUAAAACCUUGGGAGAGGAGAGAAUGACCCAAGCUAGAAACAGAGAUGCUGCUAGAACUCGGGAUGCCCAGGAGUUCAGGGGUCUUGGGCACAAAUUCCAGGCCUCUCCUACCCAAGCAAGUUACUGAUUUUCGCCAAACCUAUUUCUAAAAUAGAUAUAAUAAAAACGACCUUUUAGCUUUUGCCAGGAUCAAACGCAUAUAAACUCAUCAUGCAGAUA